rnacentral:rRNA from 1 species
GCUUACGGCCAUACCAGCCUGGGUACGCCCGAUCUCGUCUGAUCUCGGAAGCUAAGCAGGGUCGGGCCUGGUUAGUACCUGGAUGGGAGACCGCCUGGGAAUACCAGGUGCUAUAAGCA